rnacentral:rRNA from 1 species
AUUGAACGCUGGCGGCAGGCUUAACACAUGCAAGUCGAGCGGAGAUGAGGUGCUUGCACCUUAUCUUAGCGGCGGGCGGGUGAGUAAUGCUUAGGAAUCUGCCUAUUAGUGGGGGACAACAUUCCGAAAGGAAUGCUAAUACCGCAUACGCCCUACGGGGGAAAGCAGGGGAUCUUCGGACCUUGCGCUAAUAUAUGAGCCUAAGUCGGAUUAGCUAGUUGGGGGGGUAAAGGCCUACCAAGGCGACGAUCUGUAGCGGGUCUGAGAGGAUGAACAGGCACACUGGGACUGAGACACGGCCCAGACUCCUACGGGAGGCAGCAGUGGGGAAUAUUGGACAAUGGGCGGAAGCCUGAUCCAGCCAUGCCGCGUGUGUGAAGAAGGCCUUUUGGUUGUAAAGCACUUUAAGCGAGGAGGAGGCUACCUGGAUUAAUACUCUAGGAUAGUGGACGUUACUCGCAGAAUAAGCACCGGCUAACUCUGUGCCAGCCGCCGCCGUAAGAC